AGAGUUUGAUCCUGGCUCAGGACGAACGCUGGCGGCGUGCUUAACACAUGCAAGUCGAACGGUAAGGCCCUUCGGGGUACACGAGUGGCGAACGGGUGAGUAACACGUGGGUAAUCUGCCCUGCACAUCGGGAUAAGCCUGGGAAACUGGGUCUAAUACCGAAUAGGACCACAGGACACAUGUCCUGUGGUGGAAAGCUUUUGCGGUGUGGGAUGGGCCCGCGGCCUAUCAGCUUGUUGGUGGGGUGAUGGCCUACCAAGGCGACGACGGGUAGCCGGCCUGAGAGGGUGUCCGGCCACACUGGGACUGAGAUACGGCCCAGACUCCUACGGG
rnacentral:rRNA from 1 species